rnacentral:rRNA from 1 species
GACGAACGCUGGCGGCGUGCUUAACACAUGCAAGUCGAACGGUAAGGCCUUCAGGUACACGAGUGGCGAACGGGUGAGUAACACGUGGGUGAUCUGCCCUGCACUUUGGGAUAAGCCUGGGAAACUGGGUCUAAUACCGAAUACAUCCUGCUGGCUGCAUGGCCUGGUGGGGGAAAGCUUUUGCGGUGUGGGAUGGGCCCGCGGCCUAUCAGCUUGUUGGUGGGGUGAGGGCCUACCAAGGCGACGACGGGUAGCCGGCCUGAGAGGGUGACCGGCCACACUGGGACUGAGAUACGGCCCAGACUCCUACGGGAGGCAGCAGUGGGGAAUAUUGCACAAUGGGCGCAAGCCUGAUGCAGCGACGCCGCGUGGGGGAUGACGGCCUUCGGGUUGUAAACCUCUUUCAGUGCCGACGAAGCGCAAGUGACGGUAGGCACAGAAGAAGGACCGGCCAACUACGUGCCAGCCGCCGCGGUAA